AGAGACACUAGAGACUGCAGAUACCGGAAUCGGGAACAACACACAAGAUGCUGGAGUAACUCAGCAAGUCGGGCAGAAUCUAUGGAGGAGAACAGACAAUCAACGCUUCGGAAAUACUGGAGUCGUGAUGAUCAUGAUGAAGUCUGCUGGAAAGAGACGUUUAUACACAUGCUGUCCUCCAUAAUUCAAAGAGAUUGAAGGAUAAGGUUGCAGAGUGACAAAACGUGGCAGGAGCACUUGGAGAUAAAAACUAAUCCCUACCGGGAGAAAACAGCGCCUCUUCUUUCCGCAAACACGGGGAAUUCUGCAGAUGCUGGAAAUUCAAGCAACACACAUCAAAGUUGCUGGUGAGCACAGCAGGCCAGGCAGCAUCUCCAGGAAGAGGCGCAGUCGACGUUUCAGGCCGAGACCCUUCGUCAGGACUAACUGAAGGAAGACACUUGCAGAAAGUGUGCUCAGGUCUCUGGAACGGGGCUGUCCAGGGGAGGGAUACCAGAAGACAAAACCAGAACCAACAAAAGGAGGAAGCUGACGAGGAAGCUCCUGCAUACCACAAAGCGACAAUCUGCAGAAGUCUGUGUCAAGAUCGGAAUCCUUCCAAGUUUAAAACAAGACAGAAGUUUCACAUCGUGCAGGCUGGUUCACGAAAAGCAGCACACACAGAUUGCCGAGCCUUACCACAGGCUGGCGUCUUGCAGCAAACUAGCAGCAACAGUGACAGAGCUGGAGAUGGUGUUGUAACUGUGUCAGAUGGAGCAUGUAUGGACAACUAAUAAGACCUUAAGACAUAGGAGCAGAAGUAGGCCAUUUGGCCCAUUGAGUCUGCUCCACCAUUCAAUCAUGGGUAAUACUCCCCAUCACAGGACUGGGGUUAAGUCGGGUAAAAGUCACAAUUCUGUCAGUGUCUCCAGGGCACGAGUUAAAUAAAGAGGAAAUCUUACAUCAUCCUAUUAAUACAGAUUAGAGUAAAGCCCUGUCUACACUACAUUGAUGUAAUAAAAUUAUCCAAGGACGGCAUGCAAAACCAGGUGCUUCAUUGUACCUUAGUAAGUGUUGCAAUGAUAAACCUAC